rnacentral:misc_RNA from 1 species
AAAAAAAAAAAAAAAAUUACUUGAAAAGAGAAAACAUGAGGUAACUGCAGCAAGAAGUUGAUUUUCGCUAUCUAGAAAAUAUAGGUCAAGAAAAUAUACAUGCUAUUUCGUUCCACUUUCAUGUAAUGAAAACAAGCUUCUGAAUUUUAAUGGUAUUGAUAUAAUGGUAUCUCUCAACAAAAAGGAAACCAUAGAACAAAAACUGUGGAACAGUUUUAUAUACCACUGCUAUAAAUGUGUGAUCAACAGUCUCACUUCAUGCGUCUCCAGCGUGUUAGAUAAAUCCUAGCCCAUCUUCAUUUAAGUCAUCGCUUCCCAUCAUUGGGCAAUCAUUUGCAUCAUGUCCAAACUGCCCACAGCAAGGCAGAGAGCAUCGCCUGCGCUUCCUGUAGAUAUUUAUCCCAUCUCUUAUCCUCUCUUUCAUCUUUUCCAAGGUCAUUGGAUCAUGAGUAUUCCCAGCAGCAAAACUUUGGACAAAUCCAACAGAAUCUUCAACCUCUGGAAGAAUCAAUGAGUCAGAUGGGCUAGUAUAAGCAACAUCAUUAUCAUCAUGUGCUGGCCCAGGAAAUUCCUUGAUACGAGACAACACCCGAGCAACUUGAUUACAAGCAACAUUGAGACGCUCUUCUGUAUCUAUUGAUUCUGUAAUUAGUGUUGACACCAUGGAUUGUAAUAACUGAACUUUUCCUGCACGUUCAUCUGAAGAAAAAGCCUGGAAGGGCUUUGUCAAUGAUGUAUUGACCUCACGCCAACGAACAGGCAGAUAUCGAUCUGGAAUGUGAAAGCAAUUGUUUGUUGAUAAAACACGGAGAACAUGUCUGCAAAGAAUUCCUGAAAACUCAAACAAAUGGCAGCUACAACUAAUGAAUUCAUCAUGAGGAAUCCACAGAACUUUGCACCCUAUAUCCAUAUCUAUAUGGUGUCUCACAAUGAAAUAAGUCUCAUCUACCAAUAGUGAUGCAUAUUGUGGAGCCAAAACAAGCUCUUCUUGUAGUUUGCUAAAGGCAUAUGGUGUAAGAACAGUAGCAGCAUGAGACUCAAUUGGAGAUCCCAUUUUGAGGGAGACUUUAUGGGCCUUUCGUUGCACCUUUUGCUUUGGUCCUGCAUCUACUUUAUAUCCAACAGCUACAGCAACCUGCUAAGGGGAAGUUGAAUAAUGCAACCUAACAAAACAAAUAAAUAGUACAAGAGAAAGGGGCUAGCCUCCAACCUUCUCUACAAAGUUAUCAAGAGAGUGAGCACUCAAAAUCCGUUGGAUAAAAGCAUUUAUCAAGUCUGACUGGAAGGCACUGGUCAUUCCAGCAAAAAAGUGACAUCUCAAAAAUGGUAGAGCCCAAAAGGCGCGCAAUGCAUAUAAACUGGCAAUGUGUUUAUUUCCAUGUAGGCCAUAUGUAUCGACCAUCUUCAUCCAUCCUACUUCAAAAUCCUCUACAGAGUGCAAAUUAUAGAGCCGAUGGAAUUCAGCCUUCCAUUUAUCAUAUUGUGACCCAAGCAGAACAGAAAACCAAUCAGAGAACUUUGCAAUUAUAUGCCAUAUGCAGAACGCAUGCUUGGUUCUUGGCAUUUCAACAGCAACUGCUUCUUUAAGCCAAAUGUUUUGAUCAGUUAAAAUAGUUUCUGGAGCCUUUCCAUCCAUGGACUCCAAGAAUGUCUGCCAAAUACAUUUAAGGGAGUAAAGCUAAUAAAUUUAAGACAUAAAACACUUCCAGGGAAAGUGUAUGAUCCAAAUUUAAAUAAUUGGAAUUUAAGGCUUUGUAUAGUCAAGAAAUUAUUAUCUUCACAUGAAACUUGAAUUCAAGAGGCAAUGGAGUAGUUAGUCCAUUGCAUUAAAUAUGCGGUCUUACGAAAAUAAGUGCAAACAGAAACACUCUUUGAACUCUUUUCUGACCAAAGACUGAAAUUAUUUUCUAUAAGCAUCAAUGUUGCAUUAUAGGAUAAGAUCAAAAUUUAUGAAAAAAAUAAAAACAAGUUAUUCGGUGUUUUUUACCACAGCCAAUAGAAAAUGAGUGAACGUCUGUAUAUAUAGGUCUAAAUUGUUUGGCAAGACAUAGGACUAAAGCCAUGUGUCUGUAGCUUUAACUUCAAAGCCUCAAAUUACUUGACUUAGCUGUGCCCCAAGCUGAAUGUUUGGAAUUUCACUCAAGUGGAAAGGGUGAGGUCUUUUAAUUGGUUUAAAAUGUCAAUAGGUUAUACGGAUGAUACGAAAUUUUAAAACACAGCUGUUAUGGAUCCUCAUUACUAUACCAAAUUACCUCCUUACCUUCAAUGCCCAGGAAAAGGACUCUGUAUUUUCAUCUCGCAGAAGCACACAUCCAAAGAAACAAUUACUGCCAUGAUUGUCCACCCCAACCCAAAUCCCCAUAAUCAUGUCAUAAGGAUCCAAACGAUGGGUGGUGUCAAAUAUUACCGCAUCUCCAAAAGCCUCAUAUGAUUCAAUAGAUGAAGCAUAAGACCAAGCAAUGCGCUCCAACUGGUUGUUUGGAUCAAUUUGGAAGUUGUACUUAAAGUUGGGAUCUUUGUCUUUCCUGUAUUUGCACAUCUCAAGAAGGUUGAUAGCAUCACUGUCACGAUUCACAUUCCUAAAUGACUGCAGCAAGUUUCUGACAUCCAUUUCUGUGAAUGGUAAACAACCUAGCUUAACACCCUUCUCCAGCUCCAUCAUCCUUAACAUUUGUCGCACUGACAUCCCAACUUUUGCAUACAUGCAAAUUCGACUCUUGUCAUCUGCAGACAUAGUGCAACAAGCAGGAAGCAGCUGCACCUCAUUUGAUUUCAGAAGUUCAUGGUUGUGGAUGUUACUAAAACCAGUAAUUCGCCAUUCAGGAACAUCAAAAUCUGCCUUUUUAACUAUUCGCAUAUAUGCUUGACAACCACAUCGAGAUGAUUUUCGAUUUCUUUGCAUCUUUCCCUCAUCAGAAGCCUUUAUCUGAGGAUAGCCACCACGGUGGCAAGUGAAAUCCCUUCUUGUAAUUCCCCUACCUACACCAUCUUUCCCUCGAGUACGAUGACGUCUGAUUGAAAAGCCACAUUGCUUUGCAAAGCUGCAAUAAAAUUCAUAGGCAGCAUCUUGGGAAACAAACCUCUGUCCAAUAAAUGGGACAAGGUUAACAGAAGUUUGCCGGGACAAAAUUGUAACCUCUGCCAUUUCCUCUACAGUGCCAAUAUCGUCAGCACAUGAAUCCAUACCACUUUCAGAUGUUUCUUUCACUAAAUCUGUUAAUUUGGACAUUAUUUCCAAUUUGGAUAAAUGACACUGCAUAUACAGUCCUGCACAGAAUUUUUGAAAAUUUCAAGAUAAAAAUACUUGCAUGGCAAAUGAACACAAAUGAAAGACCAUUAGGGUGUUUUAUGCAUUUCUUUUUCUCCUCGUAUUUCUUCAACUUUGAAGGAUGCCAGUUUUAUUUUGAUUCAUGUUUGAACCCAGGAUGUUUUCUUGCCUAACAGAAAGAAAGGGUAUGUUUCUUUCUUAGUCGUUGUUUAGGGCUGAAUCACAAUAAUCGCAUCCUAAUUUUCAUGAUCAUGCAUAGCAAAUGCCCAUAUUUGGUACACCAAACUGAAAAUCCUUGGCUAGUACUUUAAACCCAAGAUAGGCAUAUGGAUAAGAACUAACUUCAUUAACAGCUACUCAAAUAAAUGAACUUACUUGUGACUGACUAGUGAGCUAACUUCUUGCACAAAGUACCACCCUCCACCUCGUUUUAAACCCUAGAUUUUCCCAAUUCCUUGUACUCAACUUUCCACAACAAAGCUCCAUUUUUAAACACAGCGAUCCGAAAUGAAAUCCAAUUGCGAUUCAAUAUCUAUCUAACUCAAUCCAAUCCAAAUGUAAACAAAAUGCAAAAUGUCAAACUACAACCCUAUAAAAGAAAAUGCCAACGUGAAAUCACGGUAAUCAUAUCAUCAAGCAGAAAUGUGCGUCAAAAUUUUACUUUCGCGUGAGAUUGAAAGAAUCGAUUUGUCGAGAAAAUCAAAGAAAAACAACAAAGUGGGCCAAAAAGAACACAUACCGAUAAUCAAAAUAUUUGAAUUUUGGAGAAAAUGUACACAUUUUAAACAGGCGGUAGGUUGAAGCUCGGAGAGCAACGCGCUCCCAUGGACGACGAUAGCUUAGGUGCCGAGGAUAAGCCAGAGUGCGCGCUAUGGAGACACGAGGGUAUCAAGCGCUACAUACUCUAUUUUCGGCCGUUGGAUUGAUUAAAAUGGUCCUAGAAGCAUUAGGAGAAUGAUUGGUUUGUGACCAUCAGAUUGAGGUAAUUUGGAUCGGCGGCUCACACGAGAACAGUUGGCGUAAACGUACCGGAGUAUUUUAGACGACCUAAGUCCUCCCUGACUUUCACGGAAGCGGCUAAGUUGCCCCAUAAUG